UUUUGGCUGGAUGUUGUUGUGCUGGCCCUUUGUGCAAUGUGCACACUCCCCUUCCAGUCAUCUGUUUCUUCUGUUCCACCUGUGCACUGCUUGUAGACAACUCUGUGUCUAUGAUAAUGUCCACACACACUGUUAUGCAUAUUGGUUGGCAUUUAAUUACAUGUAUAACAAAUUACAACUUUCAACAAUGGAUCUCUUGGCUCUCGCAUCGAUGAAGAACACAGCGAAAUGUGAUAAGUAAUGUGAAUUGCAGAAUCCAGUGAAUCAUCGAAUCUUUGAACGCAUCUUGCGCUCCUUGGCAUUCUGAGGAGCAUGCCUGUUUGAGUGUCAUUAAACUAUCAAAACUCUUUUUCAUGAGUGGUUUUGGACUUUGGGAGUACUUCUGCUGGUCUGUUUGAGCCAGCUCUCCUCAAAAGCAAUUAGUUGGAGACAGUGCAAUAAUUUUAUACACUGGCUUUCUCCUCUUAAUAACUACACUUUUGACCUCAAAUCAGGUAGGACUACCCGCUGAACUUAAGCAUAUCAAUAAGCGGAGGAACU
rnacentral:rRNA from 1 species